UUGGCCAUUCUGGGAUUGAUGUUGAUGGAGCAGUCGGUUUUCUGUGUGCUUUGGUUGCAAGGGUGUUCCCUCUUAUGGUUGGGUCUGUGUCUGGGAAAUGCACAUUCUCCAUGCUUUUUUGGUCAGGGUUGGGCUUGGGGCCAUGGGCUGGGAGCGUGGACUUCUCUGCUGGAGGGUGCGCGUUGUCUUCGGGGGCCCAUGGAGCUGGUGUGUCGUCCACGUAUCUAGCGUGGAGGCUGGCCUCACUUGUGGUUGUGGCUGAAGAGGGGGUUUCGGGCGCCCUAGGGGCCGGCUCCGCUGGGGCCCCUGCUAGGGGAUUGCCUGUGGGUGCACCUUCUGUCUGUCGGUGGGGUUGCCCUCUGAAUUCGAGGUGCGAUUUGUGGCAUGGAAUGUCGGCGGGGUCCCUGUAUAAACUAGCAUUCGUGGCUGCUUGCAGUAUUUUCUCCAGAAGGGGGCCUAUACAGGUGGGGGCAGGUUGGUGCUAUUUUGAGCGAUG
rnacentral:lncRNA from 1 species